UUUAAGGGUGGGGACUCAGAUGAGACUGCCGGUGACAACCGGAGGAAGGUGGGACGACGUCAAGUCAUCAUGGCCCUUAUGUCCUGGGCUACACACGUGCUACAAUGGCCGGUACAGAGUGAAGCGAAACCGCGAGGUGAAGCAAACGCAGAAAGCCGGUCUCAGUACGGAUUGGAGUCUGAAACUCGACUUCAUGAAGUUGGAAUCGCUAGUAAUCGCGCAUCAGCCACGGCGCGGUGAAUACGUUCCCGGGCCUU
rnacentral:rRNA from 1 species